rnacentral:rRNA from 1 species
AUGUCGAGGAGUUCGUGCAGCAGUGCUCAGUCUGCCAACAAGCCAAACAUGAGCACUGCAAGCCAGCGGGCCUCCUGCACCUCUUCCUGUUCCCACGGCGCCAUGAGAAGAACUCACGAUGGAUUUCGUGGAGGAUUGCCAGUCUCUGAAGGCUUCGACACUAUCAUGGUCGUGGUGGACCUCUUCACCAAAUUUGCCCACUUCAUUCCUCUGCGUCAACCCUUCCACGCGCCACAAGCGGCGAGGGCCUUCGUGGUGAAGCUCCAUGGCAUCCCCGCUUCGAUCGUUUCCUACCGCGACAAGGUGUUCACCAGCAAUCCGUGGAAGGAACUGCUCGCCGGUGCAAACACCAAAUUGCUCUACUCCACCGUAUAUCACUCGCAUACGGACGGACAGAGCGAGCGCGUCAAUUAG